rnacentral:rRNA from 1 species
UGUAUUAUUAGUUAAUGCAAGAUCGACUACGUCGACUAAAGUUCUAGGUAGAAUAAUGAUGAUGACAAUUUUUUACCUAUAUGUCUUGACCAAGUCUCGUGCCAGCAGUCGCGGUAAUACGUGGAAGACUAGUGUUAUUCAUCUUUAUUAGGUUUAAAGGGUACCUAGACGGUAUUUCUAGCCCAAAACAGGGUACGGAUUUACUAGAGUUUUAUGUGAGGAGGGGAGUACUCGUGGAGUAGAGAUGAAAUUUUGUUAUACUAUGAGGUAACUGGUGGCGGCGAAAGCAACCUUCUAUGUAUAAACUGACGUUGAGGGACGAAGGCUUGGGUAGCAAAUAGGAUUAGAUACCCUAGUAGUCCAAGCAGACAAUUCUGAAUGCCAUAGAUUAGAUUAUUUUUGGUCUAUAAAUGAAAGUGUAAGCAUUCCACCUUAGGAGUAAUGUGGCAACACAGGAACUGAAAUCAUUAGACCGUUUCUGAAACCAGUAGUGAAGUAUGUUAUUUAAAUUGAUGGUCCACAAAAAACCUUACCACAACUUGAAUAUUUUUUAAUUAAUACAAGCGUUGCACGGCUGUCUUCAGUUAAUGUCGUGAGAUUUUGGUUAACUCCAUUAAUUAACGUAAACCCUUACUUUAUU